rnacentral:lncRNA from 1 species
UCCAACUCAAAAAGCUGUCAGUCACAUCAUUAUACUCUUAAAAAUUUUCAUUCAGGUCACUGGCUGUUAAACUCCGUUAAAAAUUUGACGGAAAGCUGACUAAGCGUAGUGACUUGGCUUAAAUAAAUCCACCGUGGCGUGUAUAGUCAGCUAAAGUGGCAUUUUGGUCACUCAACUGACUACAAACUUGCAAUCGGGUCAUCAAACUCAAAAAAUUUUCAUUUAGG